rnacentral:lncRNA from 1 species
CUGGCGGGAGGCAAAGUCCCGCCUGCUAGGAGGUUGAUGGACAGCAACAGGAAGCUGGGUGAGGAGGGGCUUAGCCGAGAAGUGUUUUUGUAUUGGUCGUAAUUGACCUUCCACCCACCUCUAACCCAGCAGAUAAGUGAUAGAUCUGCCCUAAAGCCAAUCAGAAGUGCUACUGUGAAAUGCCCCGUAAAGAGCUUAUACAUCUCUCAAUACAGUCUGGCAUGGGCUAGGGAAUCAAGGCCAGGACCUCCCACAUCGGAGGCAGUCUCUACCACUGAGCCCCAUUCUCCCUCAUGGCUGCCCUAAGGGACUGAGCUACAGUGGAAGAACUGGGCCUUCUAUCCGAGAUGAUCAGGAAAUGGAUUCGGAGUUCAAGAAUGACUUUGCAUACUCCUACAUCUGCAUAAGACUUGUUUAGCCCAUACAUUCUGUUCCCAGGGCCAGUUUCCAGUUUGGCUUGCUUUGCUGUGUAGCCAAGGGCUCCGCCCGGAUUCAGUGACUCAGGUCUCCAUUUCCAAGAGACUAGG